CAAGAAGAUUGGGAAGAGCAUAAAAGAAGAGGAGGAGACAGUUUGAGAGAGACUCGAGGGAGAGGGACCCAAGGAAGUAGAGGGAGACCUGGGAAAGGAAGAGAAAAUGGGAGACAGAUUCCAUGAAAUGAAAAUGCUUUUCAAGAUGGGGACAAAAUAUAAAAAGGAAGGGUGAACACCCAAGACAACCCCCCUCUUCCAUGUCCAUCUCACUCUUUGCACUUGAAAAGACAAGAAACAGCCACCAUUGGACUCUGGGGGGUCCUGAUUUCAAGAGUUUGAUCAGCAAUGCUGCUGGAAGCAUGUGCGAGCCAGUGGGAUACCCCACAGCCCCGCUGAGGGAUGAACCUCCCCUAACACCCAUGUGGGCGGAGUCACUGGGUCCUGCGCCCACCCCUCAGAGGUCACGGCGCAGACCCAGAAGUAUAAAAGCUCACCGGCAGAGCUCAGUUGGGAACCAGCCGCCGGAGAGACCAAACAUUCGCGACCGAGCUCCCUCUGGGGAGACAGCAGAAGGCCGAGCCUGCCUCUUGCCAGCUACCCCGAGGAGGCGCCGAGCCUACCGUCUGUUACUUACCUGGAGGAACCGAUGGUGUUCGAGGUCGCCAGCGACGCUACCCCA